rnacentral:misc_RNA from 1 species
CCAAUAGCGUAUAUUAAAGUUGUUGUGGUUAAAAAGCUCGUAGUUGAACCUUGGGCCUGGCUGGCCGGUCCGCCUCACCGCGUGUACUGGUCCGGCCGGGCCUUUCCCUCUGUGGAACCUCAUGCCCUUCACUGGGUGUGACGGGGAAGCAGGACUUUUACUGUGAAAAAAUUAGAGUGCUCCAAGCAGGCCUAUGCUCGAAUACAUUAGCAUGGAAUAAUAAAAUAGGACGUGCGGUUCUAUUUUGUUGGUUUCUAGGACCGCCGUAAUGAUUAAUAGGGACAGUCGGGGGCAUCAGUAUUCAAUUGUCAGAGGUGAAAUUCUUGGAUUUACUGAAGACGAACUACUGCGAAAGCAUUUGCCAAAGAUGUUUUCAUUAAUCAGUGAACGAAAGUUAGGGGAUCGAAGACGAUCAGAUACCGUCGUAGUCUUAACCAUAAACUAUGCCGACUAGGGAUCGGAUGAUGUUAAUUUUUUAAUGACUCAUUCGGCGCCUUACG